UCUAACCCUAAAUCCUAAAUUGGAAACCCUAAGUUACUAAUCAGAAACCCUAACCCUCCCCCACCCUCCUCAGCACCGUCACCCUCAUCACAAGCGUACAAACUCCCCCUCUCUUCCUCAGCUUCACCGCAGCACACAUUCACACUCAGGACACUGCACUCAUUCAGCCCACACCCCUUCUGUCACACACCCACACCUUGUGAACGGAGCUGCACCACGUCCAGCUCGCCUCGCCAUCGCCGCCGUCAUUAUUGCCGACGAAGAGGACGCCGUCGUCGCUGUUCAAGGAGGAAGGAAAAACCGCGCGAGAGCCAAGGGAGGAGGGAACCUUUGCUGUGUCGCCGCCAUGCCUCCAUUGCCACCAAACGCCGUCAAGCGCGGAGAGAGAGCCAGACACCGCGAGGAAGAAGCCCGCGACCAGCCUUGUCGUCGUCAGUGCUGUGGGUUGCCGUCGCCAUCCACGCGAGCUGCCACCGCGUCGCCGUUACUGAGCUGUAGCGCCGCCGUUGUUGCACCCUGCUGCUGCCGCGUCUCACCAAGCCGUCGCUGGAGGAGGAAGUUGCUCUGCCACCCUCCGACUUUCUAUUGCAGUUGCCUAUACCGCUGCCGUAGCUUCGUCGUUCUGUUAUUACCUUCUAAUUGUUAAUUGAACUUCCAGAAUUGUUACUUUUAUCCGAUUUGAAUUCAUGGUUUUUGCUUGCUGCCGUGGCCACCUCACGUUGCUGCUGGCUCUGUUUGAAAAUGGCUGCUACUUCUAGAAUCUCAGAUCGGAGAGGAAAGGAGGCCUUUAACCUUGUCAUUGUUGCUGCCAUGGAAAUAGGUGCUGGAAACUGCUAAUGGAGCAGCUGCGUUUAGUGAAUUCCGUGAGUUUCGACUUUGAGUAACACAGGUUCGAAGACUCAGUUUGAAGCUGCGGAUGAUUGUUGGACUAU